GAGGAUGAAGAUACUGAGCCAGAAUCUGGACAAUUAUGUCUGUGAAACCAAGUUGGACUUACAGAGAGUUCCAAGAAACUAUGAUCCUACCUUACAUCCUUUUGAGGUCCCAUGAGAAUAUGUAAGAGCUUUAAAUGCUACCAAAAUGGAAUGAGUAUUUGCAAAACCAUUCCUUGCUUUGCUGGAUGGUCACCAAGAUGGAGUCAGUUGCUUGGCAAAGCAUCCAAAGAACCUGGCUACUGUCCUUUCUGGGGCGUGUGAUGGAGAGGUUAGAAUUUGGAACCUGACUCAACAGAAAUGUAUCCAUACAAUACAAGCACAUGAAGGCUUUGUAUAAGGAAUACGUACUCACUUUUGUGGGACUUCUUUUUUCACCGUUGGUGGUGACAAAACUGUGAAACAAUGGAAAAUGGAUGGGCCAGGCUAUGGAGAUGAGGAAGAACCAUUACAUACAACAUUAGGAAAGACAGUGUAUACUGGGGUUUAUCAUCACUGUAAAGAAGCUGUUUUUGCCACAUGUGGACAGCAAGUAGACAUUUGGGAUGAACAAAGAACUAAUCCUGUAUGUUCAAUGACCUGGGGAUUUGACAGUGUAAGUAGUGUUAAAUUUAACCCAAUCGAGACAUUUCUCUUGGGAAGUUUGUGCGUCUGACAGGAAUAUAGUACUGUACAACAUGAGGCAAGCUACUCCUUUGAAAAAGGUUAUAUUAGAUAUGAGAACAAAUACAGUUUGUUGGAACCCUAUGGAAGCUUUCAUUUUUACGGCAGCAAAUGAAGACUAUAACUUACAUACUUUUGAUAUGUGUGCACUGGACACUCCUGUAAUGUUCCAUAUGGAUCAUGUAUCUGCAGUGCUUGACAUGGAUUACCCUCCCACUGGGAAAGAGCUUGUGUCUGCUAGUUUCGAUAAAGCUAUUUGUAUCUUUCCUAUAGACAAAAGUUGAAGCAGGGAGGUAUAUCACACAAAGCGAAUGCAACAUGUUAUCUGUGUAAAAUGCACUUCUGACAGCAAGUAUAUUAUGUGUGGAUCUGAUGAAAUGAACAUUUGCCUGUGGAAAGCUAAUGCUUCUGAAAAAUUUGGUGUGCUUACAUCAUGAGAAAAAGCAGCUAAGGAUUAUAACUAGAAAUUGAAGGAGAAAUUUCAGCAUCAUCCUGAUAUAAAAUGUAUAGCUUGUCAUUGACAUCUACCAAAAUCUAUCUACAGCCAGAUUCAGGAACAGUGCAUCAUGAAAGAAGCUCGUCGAAGAAAGGAAGUGAAUCGUAUUAAACACAGCAAGCCUGGAUCUGUGCCAAUUGUGUCAGAGAAGAAGAAACAUGUAGGGGCAGUUGUAAAA
rnacentral:lncRNA from 1 species